GCUUGUCUCAAAGAUUAAGCCAUGCAUGUCUCAGAAUAAAUCUCUAUACGUUGAAUCUGCAAAUGGCUCUUUAAAACAUUCCUUACAUGGAUAACUGUGGUAAUUCUAGAGCUAAUACAUGUGCCCAAGCCCGACUCCGUGGAAGGGUUGUGUUUAUUAGUUACAGAACCAACCGAUGCUUGCAUCGUCUUGUGGUGAGUCAUAAUAACUGAGCGAAUCGCAUGGCCUUGCGCCGGCGAUGGUUCAUUCAAGUUUCUGCCCUAUCAGCUUUCGAUGGUAGGGUAUUGGCCUACCAUGGCGUUAACGGGUAACGGAGAAUUAGGGUUCGAUUCCGGAGAGGGAGCCUGAGAAACGGCUACCACAUCCAAGGAAGGCAGCAGG
rnacentral:rRNA from 1 species